rnacentral:rRNA from 35 species
AACUUUCAACAACGGAUCUCUUGGCUCUCGCAUCGAUGAAGAACGCAGCGAAAUGCGAUAAGUAAUGUGAAUUGCAGAAUUCAGUGAAUCAUCGAAUCUUUGAACGCACCUUGCGCCCUUUGGUAUUCCGAAGGGCACGCCUGUUUGAGUGUCA